GCGUCGGUAGUGCAACGGUUUAGCACAUGUUCCCGUAAAGAGUACGAUCUGGGUUCAAAUACCGGCUGAUGCG